CGAAAACCUACCCCGGAAACAAAGGAAUUAACACUGCAUGGAAACGAAUUGGAAUCGAAGUCAACGAAGGAAAGAAGACCAUGUUCUAGUUCAUGAAGAAUGAGGCUUCCAUUCCAAGGGUAUUGGCUCCCAAGCCCCCCAGAUAAACGACCCCUGAGCGAC
rnacentral:lncRNA from 1 species